AACGAACGCUGGCGGUAUCCCUUACACAUGCAAGUCGAACGGUAGAGGGGCAACCCUUGAGAGUGGCGAACGGGUGAGUAAUACAUCGGAACGUGCCCAGUCGUGGGGGAUAACGUAGCGAAAGCUACGCUAAUACCGCAUACGACCCGAGGGUGAAAGCGGGGGACUCGCAGGGGCCUCGCGCGAUUGGAGCGGCCGAUGGCCGAUUAGGUAGUUGGGGGGGUAAAGGCCCACCAAGCCUGCCAUCUGUAACUGGUCUGAGAGGACGACCGGCAACACUGGGACUGAGACACGGCCCAGACUCCUACGGGAGGCAGCAGUGGGGAAUUUUGAACAAUGGGCGUAAGCCUGAUCCAGCCAUACCGCGGGCGGGAAGAAGGCUUUCGGGUUGUAAACAGCUUUUGUCAGGGAAGAAAUCUUCUGGGUUAAUACCUCGGGAGGAUGACGGUACCUGAAGAAUCAGCACCGGCUAACUACGUGCCAGCAGCCGCCGUAAGAC
rnacentral:rRNA from 1 species